rnacentral:rRNA from 1 species
UACGUAGGGGGCUAGCGUUGUCCGGAAUCAUUGGGCGUAAAGCGCGUGUAGGCGGUUCGGUAAGUCCGCUGUGAAAGUCGGGGGCUCAACCCUCGAAUGCCGGUGGAUACUGUCGGACUAGAGUACGGAAGAGGCGAGUGGAAUUCCUGGUGUAGCGGUGAAAAUGCGCAGAUAUCAGGAGGAACACCAAUUGCGAAGGCAGCUCGCUGGGACGUUACUGACGCUGAGACGCGAAAGCGUGGGGAGCAAACAGG